rnacentral:misc_RNA from 1 species
GAAAUGCGAUAAGUAAUGCGAAUUGCAGAAUUCAGUGAAUCAUCGAAUCUUUGAACGCACCUUGCGCUCCUUGGUAUUCCUUGGAGCAUCCCUGUUUGAGUAUCAUGAAAUCUUCAAAGUAAAUCUUUUGUUAACUCAAUUGGUUUCUACUUUGGUAUUGGAGGUCUUUGCAGCUUCACACCUGCUCCUCUUUGUUCAUUAGCUGGAUCUCAGUGUUAUGCUUGGUUCCACUCGGCGUGAUAAGUUAUCUAUCGCUGAGGACACUGUAAAAGGUGGCCAAGGUAAAUGCAGAUGAACCGCUUCUAAUAGUCCAUUGACUUGGACAAUACUUUUAUGAUCUGAUCUCAAAUCAGGUAGGACUACCCGCUGAACUUAAGC